CAGCUGACUAUGUACCAUGAACCCCAAGUCUUAUUCAGAACCAUGGCUUCCCAGGAGAAAGUCUCCCAUCCUGUCACUGAUGAUGAUGUUCAACAGAGUGGGACCCAAGACCAGAAGUGCAUGGCCAGGCUGGAAAUCCUGCCCCGCCACAGUAGGGGAGGAGCGUGGGUGGGGCCAUGCCAGGCCUAUGCGACACACCACCCAUGGUCUCGAUGAGUCGAAUUCUAGUAUCCUGGGCACAGUGCAAACAUAUUUCAGCUAAGCUACGGAGAGGCUGAGGGAACUGGGUUUAUUUAGUCUGCAGAAGAGAAGAGUGAGG